UACGUAGGUCCCGAGCGUUGUCCGGAUUCAUUGGGCGUAAAGCGAGCGCAGGUGGUUUAUUAAGUCUGGUGUAAAAGGCAGUGGCUCAACCAUUGUAUGCAUUGGAAACUGGUAGACUUGAGUGCAGGAGAGGAGAGUGGAAUUCUAUGUGUAGCGGUGAAAUGCGUAGAUAUAUGGAGGAACACCGGUGGCGAAAGCGGCUCUCUGGCCUGUAACUGACACUGAGGCUCGAAAGCGUGGGGAGCAAACAGG
rnacentral:rRNA from 1 species